GGAAUUUUGCGCAAUGGGCGAAAGCCUGACGCAGCAACGCCGCGUGGAGGAAGAAGGCCUCCGGGUCGUGAACUCCUGUCCCCAGGGAAGAGGCCAGUGACAGUACCUGGGGACGCAGCCCCGGCUAACUCCCUGCCAGCAGCCGCGGUAAUACGGGGGGGGCGAGCGUUGUGCGGAAUUACUGGGCGUAAAGGGCGCGUAGGCGGCCCGAGAAGUUCUGGGUGAAAGCCCCCGGCUCAACCGGGGAAGUGCCUGGAAAACCAUCGGGCUGGAGUGCUGGAGAGGCAAGCGGAAUUUCUGGUGUAGCGGUGAAAUGCGUAGAUAUCAGAAGGAACACCUGCGGCGAAGGCGGCUUGCUGGACGGACACUGACGCUGAGGCGCGAAAGCCAGGGGAGCAAACG
rnacentral:rRNA from 1 species